rnacentral:rRNA from 1 species
UACGUAGGGUGCGAGCGUUGUCCGGAAUUAUUGGGCGUAAAGGGCUCGUAGGCGGUUUGUCGCGUCGGGAGUGAAAACCUCGGGCUUAACUCGGGGCUUGCUUUCGAUACGGGCAGACUGGAGGUAUGCAGGGGAGAACGGAAUUCCUGGUGUAGCGGUGAAAUGCGCAGAUAUCAGGAGGAACACCGGUGGCGAAGGCGGAUCUCUGGGCCUUACCUGACGCUGAGGCGCGAAAGCUAGGGGAGCGAACAGG